UCACUGCUGAUCGAAGGCCACCAUACUGCUAACUUCUUCAUGUCUUUGCUUGCAGUUGGAGGAGCAAUUGUAAAACAUGAUUCGAUUCUUCUAGGCCAUGUAAGGAACCAAGGGGCCAUUUGAACGACAGCCUGCCAGUCCCAUAGCAACUCUGUGUCUGACCUAAUCAAUCAAUCAAUUAGAGGCAUUAGGUCAGAAUGUGACACCCUUUGUUACCUUACUAUUGGAGUUCCAGUCUCUGAAAUACUUUUUAGAGCUUCCUUCUGGAAGUCUGAUAAAGAUGGUACAGGAAAUGGUGCAACCAGAAUGAUAGAAAGUGGGACAGUGAACAUCUGCUGAAAAAAGCACAAGGGCUGACUUCUCUUGAAAACCAACAACUUUUAGCUAAGAUGAUAGAGGUACUACAAAACAGAUAUUUUAUUUUGGCUGGAAUCCACCAAUGUUGCAAAUUAUUUUCCAAAUUAGGGCAUAGAAACACCAAAGGGAAAAGAGAACAACCACCCGUGGCUCCCUGUAUGUGGCCAUGCCUUUUCUGACUCUCCUUAGUGUGUAAGUUGAGGUUUCUCCUGUGUGUGUCCCCUUAGCAGGGAUUCAAAACUUUCUUCAAAUUUCACCACACAUGAUGGUGGCUGUUGACAUACAUAAUCUGUAAGUAGAACUGUCACAUAGUAAAGGCAAACUAUGGCUUUGUGUUUUAUGGGGUAA